CGAGCGGCGGACGGGUGAGUAACACGUGGGUAACCUGCCCAAGAGACUGGGAUAACACCUGGAAACAGAUGCUAAUACCGGAUAACAACACUAGACGCAUGUCUAGAGUUUGAAAGAUGGUUCUGCUAUCACUCUUGGAUGGACCUGCGGUGUAUUAGCUAGUUGGUAAGGUAACGGCUUACCAAGGCAAUGAUGCAUAGCCGAGUUGAGAGACUGAUCGGCCACAUUGGGACUGAGACACGGCCCAAACUCCUACGGGAGGCAGCAGUAGGGAAUCUUCCACAAUGGACGAAAGUCUGAUGGAGCAACGCCGCGUGAGUGAAGAAGGGUUUCGGCUCGUAAAGCUCUGUUGGUAGUGAAGAAAGAUAGAGGUAGUAACUGGCCUUUAUUUGACGGUAAUUACUUAGAAAGUCACGGCUAACUACGUGCCAGCAGCCGCGGUAAUACGUAGGUGGCAAGCGUUGUCCGGAUUUAUUGGGCGUAAAGCGAGUGCAGGCGGUUCAAUAAGUCUGAUGUGAAAGCCUUCGGCUCAACCGGAGAAUUGCAUCAGAAACUGUUGAACUUGAGUGCAGAAGAGGAGAGUGGAACUCCAUGUGUAGCGGUGGAAUGCGUAGAUAUAUGGAAGAACACCAGUGGCGAAGGCGGCUCUCUGGUCUGCAACUGACGCUGAGGCUCGAAAGCAUGGGUAGCGAACAGGAUUAGAUACCCUGGUAGUCCAUGCCGUAAAC
rnacentral:rRNA from 1 species